rnacentral:rRNA from 1 species
AAGUCGUAACAAGGUUUCCGUAGGUGAAGGUUUGCUUACCGAAGCCCUUAGCUAGCGACUCUAAAGAAAUCAGUUACAGUCGCCCCUACUGGGGGCUGGCGACGCCAUCAAUCUGUGUCUGGGAGUGCUCCUUACGGGGAAGUACCACCAGCAGCUCGAUUUAAUCGAGUUCACAGGUCAAACGAUAGCGGCCACUUCGGUGGUUAAGAUAUGAUCGGCCUCCAGCUGUCACCUAGCUGGCGAAAUUUGCGGAACCUGCGGAAGGAUCAUUAUUGAGUUCCGGGGGCCUAGCUCCCAGCGGCGGGUGUCGUUCGAGUCCAUCUGGGCUUGAGCGGCGGUCGUCGUGUUUCUCAACCCCAUGUUAACCAUACCUUUGUUGCUUUGGCGGGCCUUGAGUAGGCUAUACGGCUCAUGCCGGCCCCAGGCUUUAUUGCCUGGGGGCGGCUCGCGCCCGCCAGAGGUCUAUUCAAAUUCUAUUUAUUAGUGAUGUCUGAGCAAAUAUUAAAUAAUCAAAACUUUCAACAACGGAUCUCUUGGUUCUGGCAUCGAUGAAGAACGCAGCGAAAUGCGAUAAGUAAUGUGAAUUGCAGAAUUCAGUGAAUCAUCGAAUCUUUGAACGCACAUUGCGCCCCUCGGUACUCCGGGGGCAUGCCUGUUCGAGCGUCAUUACAACCCUCAAGCGUAGCUUGGUAUUGGGUCUUCGCCCCCCUGGGCGUGCCCGAAAAUAUCGGCGUCGGUGUGACUUUUAGCGUAGUAAAUAUCUCCCGCUUUGAAAGCCUCGCAUCGUGCUGCNGGACAACCCCACAAUUUUGAUCAAUGAUUGACCUCGGAUCAGGUAGGGAUACCCGCUGAACUUAAGCAUAUCAAUAAGCGGAGGAAAAGAAACCAACAGGGAUUGCCUCAGUAACGGCGAGUGAAGCGGCAAUAGCUCAAAUUUGAAAUCUGGCUCUUUCAGGGUCCGAGUUGUAAUUUGCAGAAGAUGUUUCGGGUGCGGUUCCGGUUUAAGUCCCUUGGAACAGGGUAUCAUAGAGGGUGAGAAUCCCGUAUGUGACCGGUCACCAACCCCAUGUGAAACUCCUUCGACGAGUCGAGUUGUUUGGGAAUGCAGCUCAAAAUGGGUGGUAAAUUUCAUCUAAAGCUAAAUACUGGCCAGAGACCGAUAGCGCACAAGUAGAGUGAUCGAAAGAUGAAAAGCACUUUGGAAAGAGAGUUAAAAAGUACGUGAAAUUGUUGAAAGGGAAGCGCUCGCAACCAGACCUGCCCUCGAACGAUCAGCGGUAGUUCUCUGCCGUGCACUCGUUCGUGAUCAGGCCAGCAUCGGUUUCGGCGGCCGGAUAAAGAUCCUUGGAAUGUAGCUCCCUCCGGGGAGUGUUAUAGCCUUGGGUGCAAUACGGCCAGCCGGGACCGAGGACCGCGCUUCGGCUAGGAUGCUGGCGUAAUGGUUGUGAGCGACC